GACGAACGCUGGCGGCGUGCUUAACACAUGCAAGUCGAACGGUGAAGGGGCCUGCUUUUGUGGGUCCUGGAUGAGUGGCGAACGGGUGAGUAACACGUGAGUAACCUGCCCCCUUNUUNUGGAUAACCGCAUGAAAGUGUGGCUAAUACGGGAUAUUCUGGGUCUGUCGCAUGGUGGGCCCGGGAAAGAUUGCGCCCUUUGGGUGUUUUUGGUGGGGGAUGGGCUCGCGGCCUAUCAGCUUGUUGGUGGGGUGAUGGCCUACCAAGGCGGUGACGGGUAGCCGGCCUGAGAGGGUGGACGGUCACACUGGGACUGAGACACGGCCCAGACUCCUAUGGGAGGCAGCAGUGGGGAAUAUUGCACAAUGGGCGCAAGCCUGAUGCAGCGACGCCGCGUGAGGGAUGGAGGCCUUCGGGUUGUGAACCCCUUUCGCCAGUGAAGCAGGCCUGCUCCUGUGUGGGUGGGUUGACGGUAGCUGGAUAAGAAGCGCCGGCUAACUACGUGCCAGCAGCCGCGGUAAUACGUAGGGCGCGAGCGUUGUCCGGAAUUAUUGGGCGUAAAGAGCUCGUAGGCGGCUGGUCGCGUCUGUCGUGAAAUCCUCUGGCUUAACUGGGGGCUUGCGGUGGGUACGGGCCGGCUUGAGUGCGGUAGGGGAGGCUGGAACUCCUGGUGUAGCGGUGGAAUGCGCAGAUAUCAGGAAGAACACCGGUGGCGAAGGCGGGUCUCUGGGCCGUUACUGACGCUGAGGAGCGAAAGCGUGGGGAGCGAACAGGAUUAGAUACCCUGGUAGUCCACGCCGUAAACGUUGGGCACUAGGUGUGGGGGGCCUUUUCCGGGUUUUCCGCGCCGUAGCUAACGCAUUAAGUGCCCCGCCUGGGGAGUACGGCCGCAAGGCUAAAACUCAAAGGAAUUGACGGGGGCCCGCACAAGCGGCGGAGCAUGCGGAUUAAUUCGAUGCAACGCGAAGAACCUUACCAAGGCUUGACAUGUGCCGGAUGGCUCCGGAGACGGGGUUUCCUCUCUUUUUUGGGGGGCUGGUUCACAGGUGGUGCAUGGUUGUCGUCAGCUCGUGUCGUGAGAUGUUGGGUUAAGUCCCGCAACGAGCGCAACCCUUGUCUCGUGUUGCCAGCACGUUGUGGUGGGGACUCGCGGGAGACUGCCGGGGUCAACUCGGAGGAAGGUGGGGAUGACGUCAAAUCAUCAUGCCCCUUAUGUCUUGGACUUCACGCAUGCUACAAUGGCCGGUACAGAGGGCUGCGAUACCGUGAGGUGGAGCGAAUCCCUUAAAGCCGGUCUCAGUUCGGAUCGGUGUCUGCAACUCGACACCGUGAAGUUGGAGUCGCUAGUAAUCGUAGAUCAGCAACGCUGCGGUGAAUACGUUCUCGGGCCUUGUACACACCGCCCGUCACGUCAUGAAAGUCGGCAACACCCGAAGCCCGUGGCCCUAUGGGGAGCGGUCGAAGGUGGGGCUGGUGAUUGGGACGAAGUCGUAACAAGGUAGCCGUACCGGAAGG
rnacentral:rRNA from 1 species